GACGAACGCUGGCGGCGUGCUUAACACAUGCAAGUCGAACGGAAAGGCCCUGCUUUUGUGGGGUGCUCGAGUGGCGAACGGGUGAGUAACACGUGAGUAACCUGCCCUUGACUUUGGGAUAACUUCAGGAAACUGGGGCUAAUACCGGAUAGGAGCUCCUGCUGCAUGGUGGGGGUUGGAAAGUUUCGGCGGUUGGGGAUGGACUCGCGGCUUAUCAGCUUGUUGGUGGGGUAGCGGCUUACCAAGGCUUUGACGGGUAGCCGGCCUGAGAGGGUGAUCGGCCACCCUGGAGCUGGGCCACUGUCCUGCGUCCUGCGGGAGGCACCAGUCGCCAAUCUUCCGCAGUGGGCGAGAGCCUGACCCACCCACCCCGCGUCAGUGACGGCGUUCUUCGGAUCGUAAUGCCCUCUUAUUGGUUAAGAACCGCUUUCUCAUUUUCUCUGCCCGUCUUGACGGUACCUAAUCAACAAGCCCCGGCUAACUACGUG
rnacentral:rRNA from 1 species